CAACUUUCAACAACGGAUCUCUUGGCUCUCGCAUCGAUGAAGAACGCAGCGAAAUGCGAUAAGUAAUGUGAAUUGCAGAAUUCAGUGAAUCAUCGAAUCUUUGAACGCACAUUGCGCCUUUUGGUAUUCCGAAAGGCAUGCCUGUUUGAGUGUCAUAA
rnacentral:rRNA from 1 species